GAUGAAGAACGUAGCGAAAUGCGAUACGUAAUGUGAAUUGCAGAAUUCAGUGAAUCAUCGAAUCUUUGAACGCACAUUGCGCCCGCUAGUAUUCUGGCGGGCAUGCCUGUCCGAGCGUCAUUUCAACCCAUCAAGCUUAGCGCUUGUGUUGGAGCCCUGCGGCCGCCGCAGCCUCCUAAAAUCAGUGGCGGGCUCGCUAUCACGCUGAGUGCAGUAGUAUUCUUCUCACUCCUGUGGUGUAGCGGGUAACCAGCCGUAAACCCCCCCAUCUAUAAAGGUUGACCUCGGAUCAGGUAGGAAUACCCGCUGAACUUAAGCAUAUCAAAAGCGGAGGA
rnacentral:misc_RNA from 1 species